rnacentral:rRNA from 1 species
UAGGGAAUCUUCGGCAAUGGACGAAAGUCUGACCGAGCAACGCCGCGCGUGUGAAGAAGGUUUUCGGAUCGUAAAACUCUGUUGUUAGAGAAGAACAAGGACGUUAGUAACUGAACGUCCCCUGACGGUAUCUAACCAGAAAGCCACGGCUAACUACGUGCCAGCAGCCGCGGUAAUACGUAGGUGGCGAGCGUUGUCCGGAUUUAUUGGGCGUAAAGCGAGCGCAGGCGGUUUCUUAAGUCUGAUGUGAAAGCCCCCGGCUCAACCGGGGAGGGUCAGUGGAAACUGGGAGACUUGAGUGCAGGAGAGGAGAGUGAAAUUCCGUGUGUAGCGGUGAAAUGCAUAGAUAUAUGGAGGAACACCAGUGGCGAAGGCGGCUCUCUGGUCUGUAACUGACGCUGAGGCUCGAAAGCGUGGGGAGCAAACAGG